UCCCAUCAUCCAUAUCAUCCAUCCACUCCCAUCAUCCAAAUCCAUCCACUCCCAUCAUCCAUAUCAUCCAUCCACUCCCAUCAUCCAAAUCCAUCCACUCCCGUCAUCCAUCCACUCCCAUCAUCCAUAUCCAUCCCCAAAUCUAUCCACUCCCAUCAUCCAUAUCAUCCAUCCACUCCCAUCAUCCAAAUCCAUCCACUCCCAUCAUCGAUCCACUCCCAUCAUCCAUAUCCAUCCCCAAAUCCACCCACUCCCAUCAUCCAUCCCCAAAUCCAUCCACUCCCAUCAUCCAUAUCCAUCCACUCCCAUCAUCCAUAUCAUCCAUCCAUUCCCAUCAUCCAUAUCCAUCCCCAAAUCCAUCCACUCCCAUCAUCCAUCCCCAAAUCCAUCCACUCCCAUCAUCCAUAUCCAUCCCCAAAUCCAUCCACUCCCAUCCAUAUCCAUCCACUCCCAUCAUCCAUCCAUCCUCACUCACUCACCCUCAGUCACCCACCCACACUCACUAAAUAAGUUUACUUACAGUUUGAAUCCUCCCCUCCUCGGUCUUCAGCCUGUCAGACCUGUCAGCUCAAGCCACUCCCACGCAGUGCUGACACAGGAUACAAAGCGCGUUCACAGUCUGAAGUAUUCAC